rnacentral:rRNA from 1 species
GAUGAACGCUGGCGGCGUGCCUAAUACAUGCAAGUCGAGCGAACAGACGAGGAGCUUGCUCCUCUGAUGUUAGCGGCGGACGGGUGAGUAACACGUGGAUAACCUACCUAUAAGACUGGGAUAACUUCGGGAAACCGGAGCUAAUACCGGAUAACAUGUUGAACCGCAUGGUUCAACAGUGAAAGACGGUCUUGCUGUCACUUAUAGAUGGAUCCGCGCCGCAUUAGCUAGUUGGUAAGGUAACGGCUUACCAAGGCAACGAUGCGUAGCCGAUCUGAGAGGGUGAUCGGCCACACUGGAACUGAGACACGGUCCAGACUCCUACGGGAGGCAGCAGUAGGGAAUCUUCCGCAAUGGGCGAAAGCCUGACGGAGCAACGCCGCGUGAGUGAAGAAGGUCUUCGGAUCGUAAAACUCUGUUAUUAGGGAAGAACAAAUGUGUAAGUAACUAUGCACGUCUUGACGGUACCUAAUCAGAAAGCCACGGCUAACUACGUG